GGCCCUCUGGCGCAACGGUAGCGCAGUCGACUCCAGUAAUGAGUGCAUCGGAAGGUUAUCCGUUCAAAUCGGGUGGGGGUCA
rnacentral:tRNA from 1 species